GGUUCUUCAAGGACUGUCUGUUUGACCUGUGCGAGCUGGAUGGUGCUCAACCCAUCCUGUGUGAGUCCAUCGAGUCGUACGUCAACGACUGUCAGGACCGAGGAGUCACCAUCGGAACCUGGAGGAACAGCACCUUCUGCCCUCUGACAUGCCCCCCCAACAGUCAGUACGUGCCCUGUGCCGCCCCUUGCCAGCCCACCUGUGCCUCCAGACCCUCCACAGGGUGUGAUGCUCCCUGUUCAGAGGGCUGUGUGUGUGACCCUGGUUACGUCCUCAGCGCUGGGAAGUGUGUCAAAGAGAACUCCUGUGGCUGCAAAGGCACCAACGGACAGUACUACGAGCCUGGUGAGGAGUGGUACUGGAG